UACGGAAGGCAGCAGUGGGGAAUAUUGCACAACGGGCGCAAGCCUGAUGCAGCCAUGCCGCGUGUAUGAAGAAGGCCUUCGGGUUGUAAAGUACUUUCAGUCGUGAGGAAGGUGUUAAGGUUAAUAACCUUAGCAAUUGACGUUAGCGACAGAAGAAGCACCGGCUAACUCCGUGCCAGCAGCCGCGGUAAUACGGAGGGUGCGAGCGUUAAUCGGAAUUACUGGGCGUAAAGGGCACGCAGGCGGUUAAUUAAGUUGGAUGUGAAAUCCCCGGGCUUAACCUGGGAAUGGCAUUCAAGACUGGUUAGCUAGAGUCUUGUAGAGGGGGUAGAAUUCCAUGUGUAGCGGUGAAAUGCGUAGAGAUGUGGAGGAAUACCGGUGGCGAAGGCGGCCCCUGGACAAAGACUGACGCUCAUGUGCGAAAGCGUGGGGAGCAAACAGGGAUUAGAUACC
rnacentral:rRNA from 1 species